GGCGGUGGCCGGAGCUUCCCCUCGGACCUUGAAAAUCCGGGCGAGGGCCACGAGGAACACCGCGCCGGCUCGUACCCAUAUCCGCAGCAGGUCUCCAAGGUGAAUAGCCUCUAGUCAAUAGAAUAAUGUAGGUAAGGGAAGUCGGCAAACCCGAUCUGUAACUUCGGGAAAAGGAUUGGCUCUGAGGAUCGUGGCGCGCCGGGCUUGGUCGGGAAGUGGAGCGGUGCCAACGUGCCGGGCCUGGGCGAGGUGAAGGGCGCUCGUCGCCCGGACCCUAGCUCGGUCCCGUGCCUUGGCCACCCACGGACCUUCCUUGCUGCGAGCCUCCCGGCUGUCUAGUUUCCGGCUCAGCCGGAGGACGGGCCGGAAGGCUCUUCGGCCGCCAUAGAACGAUCAACUUAGAACUGGCACGGACCAGGGGAAUCCGACUGUCUAAUUAAAACAAAGCAUUGCGAUGGCCCUAAGGGGUGAUGACGCAAUGUGA
rnacentral:rRNA from 1 species